rnacentral:lncRNA from 1 species
GAUUGGUCUGCUGGAUGGUUGGGAUUUCUCUCUAAGGAUUAGCCCUCUGACUCCCUGGCCUGUAACUCUGCAGUGAGAUCGCCUAGAUGAUAGGGGAGUAUAAGCCCCCCCAAAAAAUGUUUUGGGGGGGGGAAUGGUUUCAACUUUCUGUUGUUAUUCUCUAAGACAUUUGUCUUAGAAGUCUGGAUUUCCUGAAUUACAAAUGCCCUAAAGUAAACUGUUGUUAUGGUCUGUCCUCUCUCGAGGUUAUGGCGAAGGUGACCACAGAUGGUAUCUAGAUGCAUGGAAGAUUAUUUGGCUGAGAACAGAACACUGUGAACCUCAACACCCCAUCUAAACCGGCUGAAAAUGGUGAAAAUGGCGUCCGAGCCAGCAACCUGUACACAGCAUCCAGAAGCUAACAACUGCAUUUUGUCUCUUGCUUUUUCUCUCAGGAGUGCGACAUGGGUCCAUGUGGAGUGAGCAUGGAGAGAAAUCCAGUCCAAACUUCUCUCAUGCUGCUGGUGUACUGGACCUGAGCCCAAGGACCAUGCCUCAGGACUACAUGGCAUGAUGACUCCUUGCUGUCCCCAGUCCACCUGGCCGUGCUACUGCUCCAGUUUCAACUGUUCUGCCUGCGGCUAUGGAACCCUGACCUGUUCACUGGACGUGCUACCUGUCCCAGACCUGCUGUUUUCAACUCUCUAGAGACAGCAGGAGCGGUAGAGAUACUCUCAAUGAUCGGCUAUGAAAAGCCAACUGACAUUUACUCUUGAGGUGCUGACUUGUUGCACCCUCGACAACUACUGUGAUUAUUAUUAUUUGACCAUGCUGGUCAUUUAUGAACAUUUGAACAUCUUGGCCAUGUUCUGUUAUAAUCUCCACCUGGCACAGCCAGAAGAGGACUGGCCACCCCUCAUAGCCUGGUUCCUCUCUAGGUUUUGGCCUGUCUAAGGAGUUUUUCCUAGCCACUGUGCUUCUACACCUGCAUUGCUUGCUGUUUGGGGUUUUAGGCUGGGUUUCUGUACAGCACUUUGAGAUAUCAGCUGAUGUAAGAAGGGCUAUAUAAAUACAUUAGAUUUGAUUUGAUUUGAAAUAGCAUAGCCUAAAUAAUAAAUGUGCCUUCCUUCUUAGGCUCCCUGACUGGCUCCUGACCUAUUUAGAGUGUUUAUAUGCUGUUUCAUAUGACAUGUAGCCUAUCUGAAAUUAUGUUCGCAUCUUAAAUUCAC